rnacentral:rRNA from 1 species
GGAUGAACGCUAGCGGCAGGCCUAAUACAUGCAAGUCGAACGGUAAGCUGGGUAGUAAUAUUCAGCCAAGAGUGACGUACGGGUGCGUAACACGUAUGCAACCUACCCUUUACAGAUGGAUAGCUCGGGGAAACUCGAAUUAACCCGUCAUAAAUAAUUGGAUGGCAUCAUUUGAUUAUUAAACUGAGGUGGUAAAGGAUGGGCAUGCGUCUGAUUAGUUAGUUGGGGGU